GCCAGUGUGGUGUAGUGGUUUAACAGUUGGACUUCAACUCCAGAGAUCAGGGUUUGAUUCAAAGCUUAGCCA